GUAUUGCGUGAWGGAUCCCUGCUUGGGCAGCGACAUCAUAUCAUCCACGCCUCUUCAUUUGUUGGCACGAGCAUGUGCUCGGCCGGUGUUGGUUUUCCUGUGCUUGAUACCCGUAUUGCGGCAUCGAAAGUCGGUUAAAWUGUCCCAAAGCCCCCUCGUGCUGCUGCUCCUCGUGGGCAAGCGGCGUGGGGCGGCCCAUGCAGCGCAUGCCGUGUGUCCCAUCCCGUUGGCCCCGUAAGAAGGGCGUUCGGGCUGACGAUCCGCGGCAUGACGCUCGGUCCCUUGGGUACGGAACGUUGUGUGGGGUACGGGGCCGUCGGCCUCGGAGCACCACAAAAAAGCAUUCUAUGCUUCGUGCGAACGACCGUUGGCCCGGUCUCUGGCUGGCCCUCGUGGCUKGGCUUAGGACCGUGCUGGCGUCGGUGAGGAAUGCUACCU
rnacentral:misc_RNA from 1 species